GAAGCGAACGCGGUGAACUGAAACAUCUAAGUAACCGCAGGAAAAGAAAUCAACCGAGAUUCCCAAAGUAGUGGCGAGCGAAAUGGGAUGAGCCUUGCACUCUUUAUUUGUAUUGUUAGCCGAACGCUCUGGAAAGUGCGGCCAUAGCAGGUGAUAGCCCUGUAGGCGAAAACAGUAUGAAAGAACUAGGUGUGCGACAAGUAGGGCGGGACACGUGAAAUCCUGUCUGAAGAUGGGGGGACCAUCCUCCAAGGCUAAAUACUCGUGAUCGACCGAUAGUGAACCAGUACCGUGAGGGAAAGGCGAAAAGAACCCCGGGAGGGGAGUGAAAUAGAUCCUGAAACCGCAUGCAUACAAACAGUCGGAGCCUCGUAAGGGGUGACGGCGUACCUUUUGUAUAAUGGGUCAGCGACUUACGUUCAGUAGCAAGCUUAACCGUAUAGGGCAGGCGUAGCGAAAGCGAGUCCGAAUAGGGCGUUCAGUUGCUGGGCGUAGACCCGAAACCAGGUGAUCUAUCCAUGGCCAGGAUGAAGGUGCGGUAACACGUACUGGAGGUCCGAACCCACUAACGUUGAAAAGUUAGGGGAUGAGCUGUGGAUAGGGGUGAAAGGCUAAACAAACCUGGAAAUAGCUGGUUCUCUCCGAAAACUAUUUAGGUAGUGCCUCGUGUCUCACCUUCGGGGGUAGAGCACUGUCAUGGUUGGGGGGUCUAUUGCAGAUUACCCCGCCAUAGCAAACUCCGAAUACCGAAGAGUGCAAUCACGGGAGACAGACAUCGGGUGCUAACGUCCGGUGUCAAGAGGGAAACAACCCAGACCGCCAGCUAAGGUCCCCAAAUAUAGCUAAGUGGGAAACGAAGUGGGAAGGCUAAAACAGUCAGGAGGUUGGCUUAGAAGCAGCCACCCUUUAAAGAAAGCGUAAUAGCUCACUGAUCGAGUCGUCCUGCGCGGAAGAUGUAACGGGGCUAAGCUAUAUACCGAAGCUGCGGAUGCGUGCUUGCACGCAUGGUAGGAGAGCGUUCCGUAAGCCUGCGAAGGUGCCUUGUAAAGGGUGCUGGAGGUAUCGGAAGUGCGAAUGCUGACAUGAGUAGCGAUAAAGGGGGUGAAAGGCCCCCUCGCCGUAAGCCCAAGGUUUCCUACGCAACGUUCAUCGGCGUAGGGUGAGUCGGCCCCUAAGGCGAGGCAGAAAUGCGUAGCUGAUGGGAAGCAGGUCAAUAUUCCUGCACCAUUGUUAGAUGCGAUGGGGGGACGGAUCGCGGAAGGUUGUCCGGGUGUUGGAAGUCCCGGUCGCUGCAUUGGAGAAGGCGCUUAGGCAAAUCCGGGCGCGUAAUUCAAGGGUGUGGCGCGAGCUCCUUAGGGAGCGAAGCAAUUGGAAGUGGUUCCAAGAAAAGCCUCUAAGCUUCAGUCUAACGAUGACCGUACCGCAAACCGACACAGGUGGGCGAGAUGAGUAUUCUAAGGCGCUUGAGAGAACUCGGGAGAAGGAACUCGGCAAAUUGGUACCGUAACUUCGGGAUAAGGUACGCCCUUGUAGCUUGACCAGCCUGCGCUGGAAGGGUGAAGGGGUUGCAAUAAACUGGUGGCUGCGACUGUUUAAUAAAAACACAGCACUCUGCAAACACGAAAGUGGACGUAUAGGGUGUGACGCCUGCCCGGUGCCGGAAGAUUAAAUGAUGGGGUGCAAGCUCUUGAUUGAAGUCCCGGUAAACGGCGGCCGUAACUAUAACGGUCCUAAGGUAGCGAAAUUCCUUGUCGGGUAAGUUCCGACCUGCACGAAUGGCGUAACGAUGGCCACACUGUCUCCUCCCGAGACUCAGCGAAGUUGAAGUGUUUGUGAUGAUGCAAUCUACCCGCGGCUAGACGGAAAGACCCCAUGAACCUUUACUGUAGCUUUGCAUUGGACUUUGAACCGAUCUGUGUAGGAUAGGUGGGAGGCUAUGAAACCGGAACGCUAGUUUCGGUGGAGCCGUCCUUGAAAUACCACCCUGGUUUGUUUGAGGUUCUAACCUUGGCCCGUGAUCCGGGUCGGGGACAGUGCAUGGUAGGCAGUUUGACUGGGGCGGUCUCCUCCCAAAGCGUAACGGAGGAGUACGAAGGUACGCUAGGUACGGUCGGAAAUCGUGCUGAUAGUGCAAUGGCAUAAGCGUGCUUAACUGCGAGACCGACAAGUCGAGCAGGUGCGAAAGCAGGUCAUAGUGAUCCGGUGGUUCUGUAUGGAAGGGCCAUCGCUCAACGGAUAAAAGGUACUCUGGGGAUAACAGGCUGAUACCGCCCAAGAGUUCAUAUCGACGGCGGUGUUUGGCACCUCGAUGUCGGCUCAUCUCAUCCUGGGGCUGUAGCCGGUCCCAAGGGUAUGGCUGUUCGCCAUUUAAAGAGGUACGUGAGCUGGGUUUAAAACGUCGUGAGACAGUUUGGUCCCUAUCUGCCGUGGGCGUUGGAUAUUUGAAGGGGGCUGCUCCUAGUACGAGAGGACCGGAGUGGACGAACCUCUGGUGUACCGGUUGUCACGCCAGUGGCAUCGCCGGGUAGCUAUGUUCGGAAGAGAUAACCGCUGAAAGCAUCUAAGCGGGAAACUCGCCUUAAGAUGAGAUAUCCCUGGGGACUAGAUCCCCUUGAAGGGUCGUUCGAGACCAGGACGUUGAUAGGUCAGGUGUGUAAGCGCAGUAAUGCGUUCAGCUAACUGAUACUAAUUGCCCGUAAGGCUUGAUCCU
rnacentral:rRNA from 1 species